rnacentral:rRNA from 1 species
AGAGUUUGAUCAUGGCUCAGGACGAACGCUGGCGGCGCGCCUAACACAUGCAAGUCGAACGAGCGAGAGAGCUUGCUUUCUCGAGCGAGUGGCGAACGGGUGAGUAACACGUGAGGAACCUGCCUCAAAGAGGGGGACAACAGUUGGAAACGACUGCUAAUACCGCAUAAGCCCACGGGUCGGCAUCGACCAGAGGGAAAAGGAGCGAUCCGCUUUGAGAUGGCCUCGCGUCCGAUUAGCUAGUGGUGAGGUAACGGCCACCAAGGCGACGAUCGGUAGCCGGACUGAGAGGUUGAACGGCCACAUUGGGACUGAGACACGGCCCAGACUCCUACGGGAGCA